ensembl:misc_RNA
AGGGGCCGGCGGCUUGGGCAGCCUCGGGGAGGGGAGGCGGCGCACCGGCCAUUUUCAGCUCGGGUGGAGCUAAGUUUGGAAUCUGUAACCUGGAGGUG